GUCAGCAGCAACACACUGCACUCCUGACUCCUGCUCUGAUACUUGCCUCACUGGAACCGUCAUCCCCUCUCAUGUGGCAAAUGCAGCUGGGUAUGUGGUCAGUGCAACCUGUACUUCUACAGCCACCAGCCUGCAGGCUGGACCCCAUUAGAGUGAGGAACGGAACCCCUGCUAGCCAGCCUCAGGUGACAAAACUGAGGCUCAGAGGCCAAUGGCCUUGUUCAAGGUCACACGCCCACUAAAUGAGAGACCCGGAGACCUGGCAUCACACGCUAACUAAGAAUACUGGAAGGAGAUAAGAUUGGGACUGAAAGACCUGGAUUGAAUGAUUUUUAUCAAGUCACUUCCCUUCCUUGGAUCUCCAUUUACUCAUCAAUAAACUAAGCAGAUUGGAUUAAAUGUUCUGUAAGGUGCCUUCUAGGUGAGGAAGAAGUUGGGAUAAGUCAUAAGGAAGCACCCCAAUGAACAUCUCCUGCCUCUAUGGUUUUUCUGACAUCCAUCAACAUCUGUCAGAAUUUGAAAAUGUGACUGCUUUUAGGCACUGUGCUUAGUGCUGGAGAUUCCGUGUUGAAGCUCACAGUCUGGGGCAGAGAUGGAAACAGACACAAAUAACUAUAAUACAAUGUGCUAAGGCCACAGAAGGAGCCAAAGAAGGCAAUGUUAAUGCAGAGGAAAGAAGCUGAGUUUAUUUUGCUGGAAAUGCUGGGUCCACUCAGGCAAAGCAAAGGCUCCUCAAACUGGUUCCCUGCAGGUCUCCCAUUCAAAUGGAAUGCAUUUUCAUGGCACACCCACUGUGGCACAGCACCAAGCACUGCAGUGGAUGCCACUUUAC
rnacentral:lncRNA from 1 species